GGGAUCUUAGCUCAGCUGGGAGGGCAUCUGCCUUACAAGCAGAGGGUCAUAGGUUCGAGCCCUAUAGGUCCCA
rnacentral:tRNA from 1 species